rnacentral:rRNA from 1 species
GAUGAACGCUGGCGGCGUGCCUAAUACAUGCCAGUCGAGCGAACAGACGAGGAGCUUGCUCCUCUGACGUUAGCGGCGGACGGGUGAGUAACACGUGGAUAACCUACCUAUAAGACUGGGAUAACUUCGGGAAACCGGAGCUAAUACCGGAUAAUAUAUUGAACCGCAUGGUUCAAUAGUGAAAGACGGUUUUGCUGUCACUUAUAGAUGGAUCCGCGCCGCAUUAGCUAGUUGGUAAGGUAACGGCUUACCAAGGCGACGAUGCGUAGCCGACCUGAGAGGGUGAUCGGCCACACUGGAACUGAGACACGGUCCAGACUCCUACGGGAGGCAGCAGUAGGGAAUCUUCCGCAAUGGGCGAAAGCCUGACGGAGCAACGCCGCGUGAGUGAUGAAGGUCUUCGGAUCGUAAAACUCUGUUAUUAGGGAAGAACAAAUGUGUAAGUAACUAUGCACGUCCUGACGGUACCUAAUCAGAAAGCCACGGCUAACUACGUG